GGAUGUGAGGGCGAUCUGGCUGCGACAUCUGUCACCCCAUUGAUCGCCAGGUUUGAUUCGGCUCAUCUGGCUGGCUAGGCGGGUGUCCCCUUGCUCCCUCACCGCUCCAUGUGCGUCCCUCCCCAAGCUGCGCACUCAGUUGAAGAGGACGGCCUUCCCCGAAUAGAGACGUAUCGGUCUUCGGUCGAGUGUAUACGAGUAGCUGCGCUCCCCUGCUAGAACCUCCAAACAAGCUCUCAAGAAACCAUAUGUUGUACAUCAAUAGAUACUAAUACAGUGUCUCAGGUUAAAGUAAUAUUAAACAUUGCUGAAUAUCAGGGUGGGGGUAGAU
rnacentral:snRNA from 1 species